rnacentral:tRNA from 1 species
UUGUAGUAAAUUAGUAUUGCGAACCCCGAAAAAACCGAAUUCUGCUUUAAGAAAAAUUGUUAAAUU